rnacentral:rRNA from 1 species
GUUUUACCUUGACGAAUUGUAGUUUAAAGAAGUGUUUUCUGUUGAAGUUUUGGUAAAAGUUCUUUGGAAUAGGACAUCAUAGAGGGUGAGAAUCCCGUAUUUGACCAUUAUUUUCAGCUGUGUGAUACACUUUCAAAGAGUCGGAUUGUUUGGGAAUGCAGUCCAAAAUGGGUGGUAAAUUUCAUCUAAAGCUAAAUAUUGGCGAGAGACCGAUAGCGAACAAGUACUGUGAGGGAAAGAUGAAAAGAACUUUGAAAAGAGAGUUAAACAGUACGUGAAAUUGUCAAAAGGGAAGCGUUUGACACCAGUGUUGUUUUCUCGAAAAUCAAUUAAAAAGAGUUGGAUUUUGUGUUGUAUUGACCUUAACAGCUUUCUUCACUCUUUUCCUGCUUUUUUU